CGCGUAGGCGGCUUUGUAAGUCUGGAGUGAAAGUCUUCUUUUCAAGGGAGGAAUUGCUUUGGAAACUAUAGAGCUUGAGUGCAGGAGAGGUUAUCGGAAUUCCCGGUGUAGCGGUGAAAUGCGUAGAUAUCGGGAGGAACAUCGGUGGCGAAGGUGGGUAACUGGACUGCAACUGACGCUGAGGCGCGAAAGUGUGGGGAGCAAACA
rnacentral:rRNA from 1 species